GGUGGAUUCAGAGCUUUAAAUAAGCUCAGGGCCAGUCGCCCACAGAUUCCAUGAAAUCCUUAAAGGGGACCGGAACUCCAAAGAUCAACCGUGAGGGUGGAGGGAACUAUACAAGAGUGUGAACACUAGGAGGCAGGAAUCUGGAUCACCCUGGAGACUGUCUACCACAGUGUCAUUAAAGGGAUGUUUGUACAGCAAACUGCCUUGGAAGAUAGUGUUUCCCUCCAGAGCAGAGGGUAGGCCUGAAGACUGAUUAUAGAAAGGAUAAUAUUCCCCAUCCAGAGCAAA